rnacentral:lncRNA from 1 species
UGGCUUAGGUUCGAACCUGUGGGAUCACACACAUUAGAGAUUCCUAUCUGAUCUGAUGACUGGUGAAGAGUCCCACUGGAUUGGAACUCUUCGACCAAGAGUCCUAAUGCUCAGAGACUCUGAGUUCUAUGUGUUUGAGACUCUGUGAUCGAGAAUCAGGAUUCUCUGAUUACAAAUUUCACAUAUUUUGUGUAUCGGGGUC